rnacentral:rRNA from 1 species
GAUGAACGCUGGCGGCGUGCCUAAUACAUGCAAGUCGAGCGAACAGAUGAGGAGCUUGCUCCUCUGACGUUAGCGGCGGACGGGUGAGUAACACGUGGAUAACCUACCUAUAAGACUGGGAUAACUUCGGGAAACCGGAGCUAAUACCGGAUAAUAUAUUGAACCGCAUGGUUCAAUAGUGAAAGACGGUUUUGCUGUCACUUAUAGAUGGAUCCGCGCCGCAUUAGCUAGUUGGUAAGGUAACGGCUUACCAAGGCAACGAUGCGUAGCCGACCUGAGAGGGGGAUCGGCCACACUGGAACUGAGACACGGUCCAGACUCCUACGGGAGGCAGCAGUAGGGAAUCUUCCGCAAUGGGCGAAAGCCUGACGGAGCAACGCCGCGGGAGUGAUGAAGGUCUUCGGAUCGUAAAACUCUGUUAUUAGGGAAGAACAAAUGUGUAAGUAACUAUGCACGUCUUGACGGUACCUAAUCAGAAAGCCACGGCUAACUACGUG